GCCUUUGUAGUUUAAUAAAAUACUAGUUUUGUAAGUUAGAGAUGCUGUGCCGAGGGCA
rnacentral:tRNA from 1 species